GGCGGGUGGUUUAGGUAAAUCCGGACCGCUACUAACGCUGAGAUACGAUGUCGAGCUACUACGGUAGUGAAGUCAUUGAUGCCAUGCUUCCAGGAAAAGCCUCUAAGCUUCAGAUUGUAAGGAAUCGUACCCCAAACCGACACAGGUGGUCGGGUAGAGAAUACCAAGGCGCUUGAGAGAACUCGGGUGAAGGAACUAGGCAAAAUGGUACCGUAACUUCGGGAGAAGGUACGCUCUUAUCAGUGAAGUCCCUUGCGGAUGGAGCAGACGAGAGUCGCAGAUACCAGGUGGCUGCAACUGUUUAUUAAAAACACAGCACUGUGCAAAAUCGUAAGAUGACGUAUACGGUGUGACGCCUGCCCGGUGCCGGAAGGUUAAUUGAUGGGGUUAGACUUCGGUCGAAGCUCUUGAUCGAAGCCCCGGUAAACGGCGGCCGUAACUAUAACGGUCCUAAGGUAGCGAAAUUCCUUGUCGGGUAAGUUCCGACCUGCACGAAUGGCGUAAUGAUGGCCACGCUGUCUCCACCCGAGACUCAGUGAAAUUGAAAUCGCUGUGAAGAUGCAGUGUACCCGCGGCUAGACGGAAAGACCCCGUGAACCUUUACUACAGCUUGGCACUGAACAUUGAACCUACAUGUGUAGGAUAGGUGGGAGACUUUGAAACCGCGUCGCUAGAUGUGGUGGAGUCGUCCUUGAAAUACCACCCUUGUAGUUUUGAUGUUCUAACGUUGGUCCCUGAAUCGGGAUUACGGACAGUGCCUGGUGGGUAGUUUGACUGGGGCGGUCUCCUCCCAAAGAGUAACGGAGGAGCACGAAGGUGGGCUAAACACGGUUGGACAUCGUGUGGUUAGUGCAAUGGCAUAAGCCCGCUUGACUGCGAGAAUGACAAUUCGAGCAGGUGCGAAAGCAGGUCAUAGUGAUCCGGUGGUUCUGAAUGGAAGGGCCAUCGCUCAACGGAUAAAAGGUACUCCGGGGAUAACAGGCUGAUACCGCCCAAGAGUUCAUAUCGACGGCGGUGUUUGGCACCUCGAUGUCGGCUCAUCACAUCCUGGGGCUGAAGUCGGUCCCAAGGGUAUGGCUGUUCGCCAUUUAAAGUGGUACGCGAGCUGGGUUUAGAACGUCGUGAGACAGUUCGGUCCCUAUCUGCCGUGGGCGUUGGAAAAUUGAAAGGGGCUGCUCCUAGUACGAGAGGACCGGAGUGGACGAACCUCUGGUGUUCGGGUUGUCAUGCCAAUGGCAUUGCCCGGUAGCUAAGUUCGGAAUCGAUAACCGCUGAAAGCAUCUAAGCGGGAAGCGAGCCUUGAGAUGAGUUUUCCCUGACGCUAUAAGCGUCCUAAAGGGUUGUCGUAGACUACGACGUUGAUAGGCAGGGUGUGUAAGUGCUGCGAGGCAUUGAGCUAACCUGUACUAAUUGCCCGUGAGGCUUAACCAUACAACACCCAAGGGGUUU
rnacentral:rRNA from 1 species